rnacentral:rRNA from 1 species
GAUGAACGCUGGCGGCGUGCUUAACACAUGCAAGUCGAACGAAGCAUCUGCGACAGAUUUUUUCGGAAUGAAGUUGCUUAUGACUGAGUGGCGGACGGGUGGGUAACUCGUUGUUAACCUGCCUUGUACUGGGGGAUAGCAGCUUGAAACGGCUGGUAAUACCGCAUAAGCGCACAAUGUUGCAUGACAUUGUGUGGAAAACUCCGGUGGUUUAAGAUGGACCCGCGUCUGAUUAUCUAGUUGGUGAGAUAACAGCCCACCAAGGCGACGAUCAGUAGCCGACAUGAGAGGGUGACCGGCCACAUUGGGACUGGGCCACAGUCCAGAAUCCUACGGGAGGCGGCAGUGGGGAAUAUUGCACAAUGGAGGAAGCUCUGAUGCAGCGACGCCGCGAAAGUGAAGAAGUUAUUAGUUAUGUAAAGCUCUAUCAGCAGGGAAGAUAGUGACGGUACCUGACUAAGAAGCUCCGGCUAAAUACGUG